CAAAUUAUGCCAAAAACUGAAAAACAAUAAAAAUGGAGAUACAAAGUUUUUUUCCGACAGCAGUGAUAUAUUAUUGCUUACGUUAUCAGUUAGCCAAUGCAUCUCACUCUUUCCUGAGUCCUUUAGGAGAUGACGUGGAGUUCCUACAUCGUGGAGUUCCUACAUCGUGGAGUUCCAACAUCGUGGAGUUCCUACAUCCUGGAGUUCCAGCUUGGUAUAUUGUGAGAAUCUGGCAAUUAUGUGAUUUUCUCUUCUUUGCACAGAGUAGAGUUGUGAGAUAAAGUUAAUAAUUUUUAUAUUUUUGGUAAUGUUUUAUUGUCUUUAUGUUAUUGUCAAUUUACAGGUAAACACUGCUAUUACCCUAUUUUGUUCAUGAGUUGGGAACAUUGACAGAGGGAAGUUCCUUUGUGUCUCUGAUAUCUUGAUCUGUAUUUUCAGGAUAUCUGGACUGGUUUUCAAGAUAUCUUUGAUGUGGCUCUGCAAAUAUUUAUGAAUGAUUACAUGACACUCAUAAAAUAUUUUUUUAUUCAUAGAUAAUGUCAACCUGUACCAUGUUUCAUUACCAUUGAAAUCACACAACAAACAUUAUUAAAAUACAUCACUUACGAUACACCUAAAUUAAGAAUGAUCUUAUUUUCUUCAUCAUAUUCUUACCUGAUUUACCAAGUAGCAUUUUCCCAUGAAUUCCUACGUGUAUGAGCUCUUGAGAAUGCUUGUGCUCUUGAUGUAAAAAGAUGUAAAAAGGUGUUGAGUCUUUCAUUGUGAAGAUGAAUGUACAAGUGUAGUGAAAACAUGUAAUUUGUGUCCUUCAUCUGGCACAUGGAGUAUGGAGGAAAGCUCACAGUUCAUUUGUUCUGCUGCAGCUGGCAACUGGUAAAACACCACCCCAUGGAUACAGCCCAUGUGUAACACCCCCACAAAAAAUUGAAAAGAAUAACACACAUGGAAUAUUUUUCUUUAAUGUUUGUAUGUAUGAAAUGUGAACAGUUAAAAUGAUGCUUCAUUAUAGGUCUCUGUGAAUAAUCCCCCCCCAAUCCAUGGGGAGAAUGCAAAGUUAAGGUGCUGGUGAAAGGAUUGUUUAAAGUGUCUGAAGAAGGGAAUCACUGAGGUUACAAUUAAUUAAACAGGCCUUGCAUAAAUUUCCAGAACUGCAAGCAUAAAAUAUUAAUAAGGCUAAACUGUGUACAUUUACAAAUGCUUAAUAUCUAGAAAUACAACUGCACCAUUUUAGUAUAAUUGUUUUUCAUCAUUACCUUAAAAAAAAGAAACAACUCACAUGAGUUUAGAAGGUAAAAACAGAAAUCUGCGGGAGUGACUGGUGCUGCAGAUACAGUUAAAACAGUAAGUUGUUAUUGUAACUGAGCUGUGAUUUGGUAACUAGAUGCUAAGUGGCUUAACCAGUAUCAGACUAAUAUUUGGGAAAUCUUUGUUCUCUCUUCUAUUCAUGUUGCUGCUUUAGGUCUUAACCAAACAUGUUCUCUUAUUGUAAUGACCUCCACAUUUACCUCCAGGGUACUCAACAGAGUGCAGAGUGCAUUUGGAAAAGUUCUCUGUCUGUAGCACAGACUGUAUUUCUGUUUCUUAUGAUUUAAAAUAAACAUAUUACGUUGUUCAUGAACCUGAAGUUUGCUCUUAUACAUAUUUCCAUGCCACCUCAAAUUGUGGAAUGAAAACAUUGAGAUAUAAGGUGAUUUAACAGAAAAUUUAAAGAAUAAGAGAUGUGGGGUCGUGCCCAUAAAGAUUGUGCCCAUGCUUUGUUUCUAUGUAAUACAACUUUUUUGCUUGACUGAACCACUGUUUUUUUUCCUUUCCUGUAGGUUAAUCUAAUGUGUACCAGAAUUUUUUAUUUACAUUUUUAAAUCACUAAAAUUCUAAAUGGUGAGGAUGCCUUUGAACUUAACUAGAGUGGAUUGUGUUUUCUCACCUCACCUUUUUCACUCCUUUCAAGUUUACAUGAAUAGUAUAUCUGCUUCCAUGGUGGAUCCCAUCUUAUACAACGAAAAUAUUAAUUUUACUAAAGUCCUGUUUCAAUGUCUCUUUUUCCUCUACUUCUAAGCACCUCCCACCCACCACAUUGCAGCUACAGGAGCCUACAGAUAUCCUAAACUGCUUAGGGCUUACAGCUUGUCCCAGCCAUUAAGAAUCCACAUUCACAAGUUGCAAGUGGCAAAGAAAUUGACCAGAGACCUCCACAUCUGUUAAGACUAAGAGUUAAGAGUAUUUUUUAGCCCACUAGGGUAGGCUUCAGAUGUUGAUUCUCUUGCUGUCACUCUCUCCUACACAUUUACACUCACUGGCCAUUUUUAAGGUACUCCUAACAGAUUGCAGUCAUAUCUGUUUCUGUACAUAACUUUUAGCCCUCUUUCACCCUGUUUUUCAGUGGUCAGAACCUCCACAGGACCCUCACAGAGCAGGUAUUAUUUGGGUGGUGUAUUGGACACAGCAGUGAUGCUGGAAUUUUUUAAAACACUGUGUCCACUCACUGUCCAAAUUAUUUGACACUCCUGCCUUGUUGGUCCACCUUGUAGACGUAAAGUUAAAAAUGAUAGCUCAUCUGUUGGUGCACAGUGUGUGUUGGUCAUCCUCUAGUCCUUCAUCAGCGAUCACAGGAUGCUGGCCACAGGUGCUGCACACACCAAUGUAGUUUGUAAUUUUUUGGUAAACACCAUUUUAACUGUUUCUUUACUUGUGUAAUUGUUAUUCCAGUCAUUUUGUCUGAAUUGUAAGUUCUGUAUAUGUUGUUUAGACAAUUAAAGCAAUUCCUUCAAAA